rnacentral:rRNA from 1 species
AUUGAACGCUGGCGGCAGGCCUAAUACAUGCAAGUCGAGCGGAUGAAGGGGGCUUGCUCUUCUCUUCAGCUGCGGACGGGCGAGUAAUUCCUACGAAUCUACCCUGUCGUUGGGGCUAACGUCCCUUCACGGGCCCUAAUCCCGCAUCCGUCCUUAUGUUGAACGUGGGGGAUCUUUAGACCUCGCGCUUUUUGCUGUGCCUAGGUCGGAUUAGCUAGCUGGUUGGGUAAAGGCCUACCGAGGCGACUAUCCGUAACUGGACUGAGAGGCUGAUCAGUCACACUGGAACUGAGACACGGUCCAGACUCCUACGGGAGGCAGCAGUGGGGAAUAUUGGACAAUGGGCGAAAGCCUGAACGAGCCAAGCCGCGUGGGUGAAGAAGGUCUUCGGAUUGUAAAACACUUUUAGUUGGGAGGAAGGACAGUAAGAUAAAACCUUGCUGUUUUGACGGUACCAAAAGAAUAAGCACCGGCUAACUUCGUG